ensembl:lncRNA
CCCCGGAAGGGGCCGCAGGUCCCGGCCGGGAUGUUCUGGAGCCGGGCGAGGGAAGCACCACCAAGCUGCCCUGGAAUGGAACUUCUGCUCAGUUCUUGGAUUGAGGGUUGGAGGAGGAGUUUACUUCAUUCAUUCUCAGGGACUCUUAACUGGUGAGAAGAAUUUAGGAUAUUUUACCAUCUGGAGUUUCUCUGCCUCACUGGUGAUUUAAACUCAAACCUGCCAGUUUAUGCAAGAUGAUAGAAAGUACCCUGUAACAUCUGAGUUGCAAAAAUAUCUGCCUCUGAGAGCUCAGGAGGAUCUGCUUUGUGGGAGCAAAGGUAGUGAGUCAUACCUGGAAGCUUGCGCCUCUUCAUCCAGUCAAGUCUCCUAGGCAACAGUUUAUGCAGCACUUAAAAGAUGAGGAGUUAAGAGGAGAAAAUGGAAAAAAAAAAACAACAGAAGUACUUUUAAUGGAACAGAAUAAACCACUGAACAGGUACCAGAAAUUAUUAGGAGUUGGGUACAACAUAAUUAAACGAGUUAAUAUUUGUGAAGUCCUUAGAAGGUUACCUGGCAUGUUUAAAUAACUGCAUACGUGUUUGCUAUUAUUAAGUUCCUUUAAAUGUACCUUAGCCCAGAACAAAUCAGUAGUACAGCCAAGAACUACCCAACAACAACAACAAAAAACCCUUUUCCCCUAAAGCAAGUGUGAACAUCAUUGGUAAAUGCUGUCAUGGUCUCUGUAUGACUUGUUAUAGUGGUCUGAGAAACUUAAUUUCUUAAUCUCUGAGCCCUCUGAGUGUUUGAAUACCCAUUCAUUUUUGGUUUUGAGCACUCAUUCAUGAUGACUUUUAAGUGUCAGAUCAGUUUCAAUUUUUUGGAAUAAAGCAAGCUUCCUUAAAAUUCUCCAAGAGCUUUUCAUGUGGGGAGGUGGCUUCAUUUUCAGGGAGGCGCCGAGGUAGCCUGUGGAUAGUUAGUAAAGACAGAGGUGACAGCAUGAAGAUCCGCACUCACAUUUUCUGAGGGCGCCAGUGAUUACCUGGAAUAAGACGUUUCAACCUGCUGCCCCUGCCCCCGCACUAACUUCCCAUCAUAAAACUGCCGGUGUUACUGAGGGCUACCGACACUUUCAACAAACACUGAUAAGGGGCAAAUUAUGUGCCAAGUAUUGUGCUUGGCCUUGAACGUGUCUCCUCUCUCCUCACCCACCCACCUCUCCGGAUCGGCACCAGCUCCUGCCGCCUUCACCGCGCUGUGGGGAGACCUGGCUCCCCCGGCAUCCGGAGGGAUGCUUUCCGUGCCACCGUCCGUCCGUCUGUCUCUCCGGCUCCUCCCCCUCCGCACCCGAGCACUGCUCAUUCAGGCGGGGGAGGCACGCUGGGAGGCAGGCCCUGUGGUUUGAUACUGCUUUAGACGGCCGUCUUCCCCCAGAUUGCUGUGUCACAGUGUACACAGUUCCUUUAAAUGCCCCGUUGUUUCAUGUUUUGCCGUGUUUCCCCUCUGCGAUCUGGGGAUAUGACCUUGGGAAGUUACUUUUCUGUUCGGAGGUGUUCCGGAAGUGUAACUUGAGAGAGGCGGGCGCUGGUGGUGGGCUCGGUGUGUCAGUGGUUCUCAAACCUUUUUCUUGGAACCCCCAGGAAGUGUCAUGUUAGGACCCCGUGCGCCCACUUCCACGUGUGGAUGUGUGGAUUCCCGACACACCUUUACCGUAUGAGGGCUGCGAUAGAGUUUUCUAGUCUGUCCGAUUUCCUAUCACGUUUUCUUUUCUCCCUCCUCUUUUCUUUGGAGCGCUCCUCAUAACCCACUAGUCAGCUGCGCUUCGGCAGCGCGAGGUAUUUUUGUGCGGUGGUGGGGCACCUGCUUUUUCUUGCCUUUCUCUCCAUUUUCUGUGGUAAUGUGCCUAAGUCUCUUUUAUCCAUAAAUGUGCUCCCCCCCCAACUUGCCAUAACUUAAUUCUUUAUGUGUGAAACUCUUUCCCUAACUUAGCUCCUGUUUUUGUUUUCUCAUGUACCAUUCACUGCUCAAUAUUACAGUGAUUCACAAUAUUUUAGUGACUUCUGUGGAAUGCUAGCAAAAUUCUUGUUGAUUUGAGGCCAUGUAUUUAUAAAGGAAUCAUAAUUACGUACACCUAGGAUUAUUCAGUAUGCUCAACAAAUUUUCGUGGUUGUAAUGUGCAAAUGGUUCUUGUAAUUAAAGAUAAACUAAUAUUCAGCUGUCUUUGAGGAAUAUUUCUAAGGUUUAUAGGCAAUAAAUGAGACAGCAAAUCCUAGUUUUCUGUAUUAAAAAUAUGUCAUUUGAGUAGUCUUAGAAAUUUCUAAAUAUUCUGUUAUUGAAGCCAAGGCAACGUUGUUCUCUUGGUUCUUUGAGUAAUUAAGCCUUCCCAUGUAGUUAUGAAUACAGCAUAUUUGCCAAAAACUUUUAGCCAAAUAUUAUACUAUAGUAUAACAUUAUAUUAUAAUACUUAACCACAUAUUAUAGAUUAAUACAUUUCUACAUUUUACAAUUAUUUUAAAUGUCACAUUAGACGAUUUGAGUUACUUUGUUUUGCAGAAUCUAAGGUUUGAAAAUAUUGA